UAGAAACUCUUUGCAACCCUUUUCUCCAACUGGCUCUCUGAGUGUGGAAGCUGCUGAGACUUGGCCACUAGGCAAGAUGAACUGAGAAAACCAUUCAUAGAGAAUACUGAACUAUCUGCCACACACUGUAGGUCACCUGACCACUCUCAACCUCUUCUAACUGACACUUGAUUUGAAGAUUCCGGGGUGACUUCGAACUUGACUCAGACUGCUAUCAUUCCCAUCUACGGGGCACCGGGAGACAGUUCUGAGUGGACACAGUGGCCCCUGCCUUUUGGCAUCUGGGAGAGGCCAAGCACAGUUGUGCUGGCGCCAUGUUUGCCCUAGAGACUGUACCACGUGGUCCUCUUCACUAUGCUCUCAGAGGAUACUUAAGCUGUUAGACUACAGACAAAGGCAAGAUGAAUGAUGUUUGUGUAGUAUAUCUCUAUUUCCAGUUCUACAGGGAGCCUGUCCUGGACAAACUGACAGAUGUCUCUCAGUAAAUAGACAGGAGGAGCAGUGGUAUCUAAGCAUAAAACUCUUCGAACAUGGAGUCUGAAGGAUGGACUGACCGUUUGCAAUGAUAUCUCCUAGCAACCAUCAAAUCCACAACAAUGUAUUGAGUACCUGCAGAGCAGGCCUCUUUAUGAUUGGUGUCUAAAGUUAUCACAUUGAAAUGGUGGGCCCUCCAUGUUCCAAGUCUCAAAGUACUUGCACAUACAUCUGUCGCUCAACAAAACUCAGGGAGUCACCUAAGACCCUGUUGUCACCCCUAUGUGUAGCCAACAAUAAACACAAGUGACAGCUGUGGUUUAUUAAAGACUGUGUUCCACACACUCUUACACAUGCUAACUUGUUCGCCAUCAUAGUGGCUUUGUGUGAUUGUUCUCACUUUAUGACUGAUUAAAGUGAAGCGCAAAGAGAUAAAUACACUCUUAAUCACCCUGCUCCUGGUUGGCAGUGUUGGAGUAAGAAUUAGCAGUCAAACUCUAGGUCACAGCACGUACUACUGGAAUGGACCACCUAAAGAGGAAAAUGAAUCAAGGAGAGAAGGCCAUUGUGUAGAGAUCAUGUGACCAGGGACAGAGCCGAGAUCCACACCUAGCUAGCUUAUGAACAUUGCUGGGUCUCCAAACCAACACCUAUAUCCAAUAAUCACAGUGUGCCCACAGGUGCACCUUGAGAUGUUCCUGUGAUCUGAAGAAUGUAACUCUUCCACCUCAGGUUUCUGGUGACUCUUGAUAAUGUCCCCAUGCCCAGUGGUCACUGCUGAUGCCAUCUUCCAGUAGCCCACAAUUUCAAAUGAACUAGCUGAAGAGGGCUGGUUCUUACAACACGAGAGUCCUCCACUGGUGCCUCUCGACCUUAAGGCAUGAUUCAGAGAAAGAGGUUCUGAGGCAAAGGGCAGGCUGAGGAGUUCUAGUCCUAGCACUGAAUGACUCAGAGUCAGUCACUUCCCUUCUAGGAACAAUUUUAUCAGGGAAAGGAUGAGACCCAGAAGCCUCUGAAGCCCCCUCUCCUCAUUGUGUCCUCCCAGAACACAACCUGUGACUGUUUUGAAGACCCCUUCUACAUCCCUGAGCCUACCUUGAGCCACUCCUGGGCUUCCCAAUAAGUCAUACAUCAAGACUUUUCUGUCCUGUGUUUUACCCUCUCAGGACCCUGUGCUUAUCUGUGACUAAGAAUGCUUCUAUUUUUUAUCACAGAAGUUAAAAUGAUUGUCAUUUCUUAAUAAUUUCAUUCUCCCAGGAGACCUCAUGCCUCAAUUCUCUUUCCUUUUCUCAUCUUUUCUUUUUCAACAUAACCUUUUUUUUAUUGAUUCUCUCGAAGUUUCACACUACGUGCCACAAUCCUAUUUCCUUCCCAGACCUUCCUUGUCUGCCCUCCUGCUUGUGACCUCCCCACUAAAAAUAUUUUUAAAAUAAUAGAGUUAA